GGUCAGUUGCUAGUCUAUAUAUGUUUCUGGACACCGUAAGUGAUGUGUGGCUUGUUGCGAGCGGAGGUCAGUAGUAACUGUUUGAAUUGUGUUGGGGGAGGAUGUGUCCGGGUGUGGCUGACCAGCCGGUGGUAAAUACUCUUUUGGCUGCUACAGCUCUCCAGCCCAGGGUGUCGACUGCCUAGUCUUCAACUGCCUCCCAACAUGGUAGCGAGGUCCUGAGCAGAUGUACCCUAUGGCGAAGAUUGAGGAAGUAAUUUCCUGAAGUAAUGAAUGGCACUUUAUAACCAGCAGCCGGCACCAGCUCUGGACAACGUCGGAGUGGACAAGGCCCAGAUCCCGUGGGGAGGAAGGUCUACACUAACAUGUAAAAGAACAUGGAUUGGGAAGUCCUAAACUACAUUCCUGGAGUUUGAAGGUGUCAAUUGACAUUCAGAAUCAGAUUACAAUGGUAUCCAAGCAUUGACUGACUUGAAGUGUGGCUGUUCUACUCUGCACAUCUAUGAAGCUGGUUGUGGAGGGUCCUUCCAACAUAAUUUCAGGGAUGGUGUACAGAAAAAUUGAACAUGGAUUGGGAAGUCCUAAACUACAUUCCUGGAGUUGAAGGUGUCAAUUGACAUUCAGAAUCAGGUUGUGGAGGGUCCUUCCAACAUAAUUUCAGGGAUGGUGUACAGAACAAUUGGUGAAAGUUAUGCUACAGAAAAUAGCAGUUGUGAGAAUUAGUUGGUAAAAAAUAUGGAUUGGGAAGUGCAGAAUUACAUCCUGGAGUUUGACAAUGUUGAAUGCAUGACAUUCAGAAUAAGGUGAUAAUGAAGAUUACAAUGGUACCAAAGCAGUGAGGCUAUUCUACUCCACACAUCCAAUAAACUGGUGGAUGUUGUCCUUGUUACUCUGGUGUUUUCCCUGUCCUUUUGGAGUCUUCAGUGGAUUGCAUCUAGGAGGAGCAGCUUCCCACAACCUGAAAUGGACAAUAGUCAAAAUUAGAUGUUACACUGUAUACUAUGCAAUAAAUAUUCUAAUGAAACUA